GAUUAACGCUGGCGGCGUGCCUAAGACAUGCAAGUCGAACGAAGUGACCCAUUGAAGUUGGAGUGCUUGCACAAAGACAGAUUUGGAUUUCACUUAGUGGCGGAUGGGUGAGUAACACGUGGGUAACCUACCUUUUAGAUUGGGAUAACACAGGGAAACUUGUGAUAAUACCGAAUAGGAAAUAAAAAUGAUUUUUUUAUUUUGAAAGAUGCCUUUAAAGCAUCACUAAAAGAUGGGCCUGCGGCGUAUUAGCUAGUUGGUGGGGUAACGGCCUACCAAGGCAACGAUCAGUAGCCGGCCUGAGAGGGCGACCGGCCACAUUGGGACUGAGACACGGCCCAAACUCCUACGGGAGGCAGCAGUGGGGAAUAUUGCACAAUGGGGGAAACCCUGAUGCAGCGACGCCGCGUGAAGGAAGAAGUAUUUCGGUAUGUAAACUUCUAUCAGCAGGGAAGAAAAUGACGGUACCUGACUAAGAAGCCCCGGCUAACUACGUGCCAGCCGCCGCAGUAA
rnacentral:rRNA from 1 species